GGGAGAUCAUGUGACAGAGGACCUGCAGGCUCAUUCAGGAAGUUUCCAGGGAUGGAGGGUUACUGUUUGUUGUCUCUGAGUGUUUCGGCCAAAUAAAUCUCUUCAGUGGAAGGAGAGAACCUGAGACAGAGGCGGGCGGAGAGUAAAGAGUGCCGCGCCCGCACUCGGUGGUCUGCCUCAGCCAGUGCAUGGGAGUGCGGGAGCUACAAAAAUAAACUCUGCCUUCUGGCGGUGAGGGUGGCCUGUGCCAUUCUUGGUUGGGGACAUGGGUGCUCUGACGCACAUCUAUCUGUCAAGGAGCGGACUAGCCUCCAGACGAGGUCGUAAGGUCGUCUCCGGAGGGCUUGGCCUGGAGAGAGGUCACACUCCUUACAUGCUAUUGGUCGACAGCCCUACCCAGACCUUCUGCAGGUUCAGUGACCUUCUCCUCCACCAGCGAUCUGGCUCUGUUCACCCAGUUCAUGAUGAAUAACUUCCCGUCUAGCUCCCUCUACUGAUUACUGUAAUUGCCGGGAUAACAGUUGGAACUGAAGGGACUGUACGAUAGGGAAUGCCCAGGUGGUGAUGUUCAUCCAUUCAGAACAGAGUACAGAGUGUUAGCAAGGCGACACUAGAGGGCGAUGUUGGAACAGAAACUCUGAAAUGUUUGGGUGAAGACUGUGUGUGGAAAAGAGAAGCAGGAGUGUGUGGUCGUGCAGGUCAGGGUGCUGCACUGGAACAGGUUGGCUGAGGUUUGACCGCUGCCUCCUCUCAGCUGCAGCAGGUUAUUUUAGCUCACUUUUAAUAUCCUGACUGCAGCACCUGUGGCCUCUGCGGUUUCUCCCAGCGGAGGAGUUGUGUAAUCACUAAUACACGAUUAAACCGCCCCGGUGUGUGCCUGGAAAAACACUGCUUUCACCUUACAAUUUCGUUCCUCAUUCAUUUAUAACUUUCUGAAUUUUACCAUUCAAGUAAGUAUAUUAGUAAAUGAGUAUAUAUCAAUGAUCGGAAUGCAUUACGUCUUUUUUAAUUAGUGCACUCUUUCUUACAUGUACCUGUUUUUUUGGUUUAGACACUUUAUAUUCUUUUAAUGUAGUGAAAUCCAGCAGAAAAAGAAGAAGAUAAAUUGUUUAAGCAAUGUGCAACCACAAAAAGUCACAUGCUCUACAGAGACAAAUGUCUGCACAUUCCAAAGCAUCAUUACUGUGUAUUUACUCAAUUUAACCCUGUUUUUUUUUUUUUUUUACUUUUUUUCUUGUUUAAAGACUAAUCUUUGAGAUGUACACCAAUUGCUUGAAAUAUCACAUAAUAAAUAUCAUAAUACUAACAAAAUAA